rnacentral:rRNA from 1 species
CAGAGGCCUCGAGCGUUAGGCGGAAUCACUGGGCUUAAAGCGUGUGUAGGUGGAUGCCUAAGUACCUUGUGAAAUCCCACGGCUUAACCGUGGAAUUGCUUGGUAUACUGGGUGUCUUGAGCCACUCAGGGGCUACCGGAACAAGCGGUGGAGCGGUGAAAUGCGUAGAUAUCGCUUGGAACGCCAAUGGUGAAAACAGGUAGCUGGGGGUGUGCUGACACUGAGACACGAAAGCCAGGGGAGCAAACGGGAUUAGAUACCCCGGUAGUCCUGGCCCUAAACGAUGUCCACUAGAUCGUGACGGCUCUAACGCCGUCAUGGUCGAAGCAAAAGUGCUAAGUGGACCGCCUGGGAAGUACGGUCGCAAGGCUA